rnacentral:lncRNA from 1 species
ACAGGAUCUAUUUUAUAAGUUCUUCAGGAUAGGGGAUUUCCAAACUCUUGGCCAUACUACGAAAUGAACUCAUUCAUUCAGUCAUCACAGACUGAGCAGGAACACACGAGCCCACAGUCAGGAUACGCACAAGCACUGGCAAAAGGGAAAAUUUAUGUCUAAUACCUCCCAUCGGAGGACUGAAUAUCGGGUAUAAAACUUCAGGAGCCAACCUCGCUGGAUUCGAGGCCCAGUCCUCCUUUCCCCAGGUCUACUGCUUUUUCACUCCUAAGCAAACUCCUGGCCUCAUGUCCUUUCCUUGAAAACGUCACACUAAGGACAGAUGCUAAGCUCUGUAAGUACCCCUCCAUAAUCCCACUCCUCCAUCAUCUCCCUCCCCUCCCCCCCAGGAGACACUUUGCCUGUCUUCCUUCCCACAUACUUUUCCAUCCAAGCUGUUUUCAAG